rnacentral:snRNA from 1 species
CCCCAAGUAGGAUUCGAACCU